UACGUAGGGCGCAAGCGUUGUCCGGAAUUAUUGGGCGUAAAGAGCUCGUAGGCGGCUUGUCACGUCGGAUGUGAAAGCCCGAGGCUUAACCUCGGGUCUGCAUUCGAUACGGGCUAGCUAGAGUGUGGUAGGGGAGAUCGGAAUUCCUGGUGUAGCGGUGAAAUGCGCAGAUAUCGGGAGGAACACCAGUGGCGAAGGCGACUACCUGGCCCACUCUUGACGCUGAGGCGCGAAAGCUAGGGGAGCGAACGGG
rnacentral:rRNA from 1 species